UGGAAUUAGGUUAGACUCUGGUGAUCUAGCAUAUUUAUCUAUUGAGUGCCGGAAGUUCUUUUGUUCAGUAGAAAGGGAAUUCAAUGUACCUGGUUUCGGAAAAACAAUUAUUACAGCUAGCAAUGAUCUCAAUGAGGAAACACUUGACCACUUGAACAAGCAGGGACAUGAGGUAGAUUCUUUUGGAAUUGGCACUUAUCUCGUGACAUGCUAUACUCAAGCAGCUCUUGGUUGUGUAUUCAAACUUGUUGAGAUAAAUAAUCAGCCACGCAUGAAGCUGUCUGAAGAUGUUUCAAAGGUCUCGAUACCAUGCCGAAAACAAUCGUACAGACUGUAUGGAAAAG
rnacentral:misc_RNA from 1 species